AGUCGGAGUAUUUUUAAUGAAAAUGCACUAUCUAUAGACGUUAUUGAUUUGAAAUUCAAAGUCAGUAAACAUAUGAUUUAAAUUUAGCAGAAAGCGGAAAACUAUAAUUACCUAAACAUUGGUUUCCUUCAGUCGGUACAGGCACGAACUGGAAGUUACCCUGAACACUGAUUUAGCAUAUACGUAAACAAUGCUGUAAGGGCCAACUAAAACGGGCGUGUUGGUAAACAUCUGGCGGGUGACGUCACCCGACCAAGUGCACUGGAGUGGCGAACGGGUCAGUCGUGCUCGAGAUCCAUAUUGAAGCUGUACCCAUUAUGAUUGAGAUCUAUAUCAUAAUAUAUUCUAUAGUCGAAUAACACUAGCCAUAUAUUCUAUAGUCGAAUUUCAUGCUGUUUCCCUGGAAACCAUCGUGGUUGAUUCAUAUGAAAUUCGUCAUGACGAGCCAACGGAGAGAGUCAGAGAGGCUACCAUGAAAUGUUUUCUGAAAUUACAUAAUACCAUUUUAAUCAUUAAUUAUGUUGAAAUAUAUAUUCCUUUAGACUUUUUUGGUAAGAUUUAUGAGGAACAAAACGUUAAGUUUUAUUUACUGGGCUGAUUUUGUUAUGAACGGAAACAAUUGAAUUUGAAAAUAUGGUUUUUCACUUAAUGCGUCUUUAUGAAGAUUGUUAGCAGUGCAGACAAUAUAAAGGUUAUCGACACGCGGAGAGUGGUCGGUUUACGACGAGAUCUCGCCAUUGGCUCGAAAUUGCCAGCCAUAAACAAGCCCGCGGGUUUUAUCCGAGCUCGUGUGUCAUACAACUUUCGUCGUUUCCCUUACAAACUUGGCACUUCGAUAGCGAACUUUUAUAAUAAGUAUGGUUCUUUGCCUCUUUAAAAAAUAAAACAAUCGAUCUAUGGA